rnacentral:rRNA from 1 species
CAUGCAAGUCGAGCGGGGGAGRUUGCUUCGGUAAUUGACCUAGCGGCGGACGGGUGAGUAAUACUUAGGAAUCUGCCUAUUAAUGGGGGACAACAUCUCGAAAGGGAUGCUAAUACCGCAUACGCCCUACGGGGGAAAGCAGGGGAUCACUUGUGACCUUGCGUUAAUAGAUGAGCCUAAGUCGGAUUAGCUAGUUGGUGGGGUAAAGGCCUACCAAGGCGACGAUCUGUAGCGGGUCUGAGAGGAUGAUCCGCCACACUGGGACUGAGACACGGCCCAGACUCCUACGGGAGGCAGCAGUGGGGAAUAUUGGACAAUGGGGGGAACCCUGAUCCAGCCAUGCCGCGUGUGUGAAGAAGGCCUUAUGGUUGUAAAGCACUUUAAGCGAGGAGGAGGCUCCUGUAGUUAAUACCUACARAGAGUGGACGUUACUCGCAGWAUAAGCACCGGCUAA